rnacentral:rRNA from 1 species
GACGAACGCUGGCGGCGUGCUUAACACAUGCAAGUCGAACGGAAAGUCCCUGCUUUUGUGGGGUGCUCGAGGGGCGACCGGGUGAGUAACACGUGAGUAACCUGCCCUUGACUUUGGGAUAACCUCAGGAAACUGGGGCUAAUCCCGGAUAGGAGCUCCUGCUGCAUGGUGGGGGUUGGACAGUUUCGGCGGUUGGGGAUGGACUCGCGGCGCAUCAGCUUGGUGGUUGGGUAGUGGCUUACCAAGGCCUGGACGGGUAGCCGGCCUGAGAGGCUGACCGGCCCCAUUAGGGCUGGAAUACGGCACAGACGCCUAUGGUACGCGACGGAGGGGGAGUGAGCCCUGUGGACGGGGCGCUAGUGUGGCAACGCCAUGUGGGGGGAGACGUGCUGCGGGUUGUAUUCCGAUAUCGUUUGAAAGGAGGCGUUAGUGACGGUAAUGGGUAAAGAAGCACCGGCUAACUACGUG